rnacentral:rRNA from 1 species
UGGGGAAUUUUGGACAAUGGGCGAAAGCCUGAUCCAGCAAUGCCGCGUGUGUGAAGAAGGCCUUCGGGUUGUAAAGCACUUUUGUCCGGAAAGAAAUCCUUGGCUCUAAUACAGUCGGGGGAUGACGGUACCGGAAGAAUAAGCACCGGCUAACUACGUGCCAGCAGCCGCGGUAAUACGUAGGGUGCAAGCGUUAAUCGGAAUUACUGGGCGUAAAGCGUGCGCAGGCGGUUUGCUAAGACCGAUGUGAAAUCCCCGGGCUCAACCUGGGAACUGCAUUGGUGACUGGCAGGCUAGAGUAUGGCAGAGGGGGGUAGAAUUCCACGUGUAGCAGUGAAAUGCGUAGAGAUGUGGAGGAAUACCGAUGGCGAAGGCAGCCCCCUGGGCCAAUACUGACGCUCAUGCACGAAAGCGUGGGGAGCAAACAGGAUUAGAUACCCUGGUAGUCCACGCCCUAAACGAUGUCAACUAGUUGUUGGGGAUUCAUUUCCUUAGUAACGUAGCUAACGCGUGAAGCUGACCGCCUGGGGAGUACGGUCGCAAGAUUAAAACUCAAAGGAAUUGACGGGG